rnacentral:rRNA from 1 species
UUUACCCUACGGGACGCAGCAGUGAGGAAUAUUGGUCAAUGGGCGGAAGCCUGAACCAGCCAAGUCGCGUGAGGGACUAAGGCCCUGCGGGUCGUAAACCUCUUUUGCCGGGGAGCAAGGGCGGGGACGUGUCCCGGCCCGGAGAGUACCCGGAGAAAAAGCAUCGGCUAACUCCGUGCCAGCAGCCGCGGUAAUACGGAGGAUGCGAGCGUUAUCCGGAUUUAUUGGGUUUAAAGGGUGCGUAGGCGGGCUCUUAAGUCAGCGGUAAAAAUUCGGGGCUCAACCCCGUCCGGCCGUUGAAACUG